UACGUAGGGGGCAAGCGUUGUCCGGAUUUAUUGGGCGUAAAGAGCUCGUAGGCGGUUUGGUAAGUCAGGUGUGAAAUCUCCACGCUCAACGUGGAGGGGCCACCUGAUACUGCCAUGACUGGAGUCCGGUAGAGGAGUGUGGAAUUCCCGGUGUAGCGGUGAAAUGCGCAGAUAUCAGGAGGAACACCAAUGGCGAAGGCAGCUCGCUGGGACGUGACUGACGCUGAGACGCGAAAGCGUGGGGAGCAAACAGG
rnacentral:rRNA from 1 species